GUGACCGGGUCCGGUGCUGGUUUCCGGAGACAGACUGUGAAUCUGUUCGGCGGCGGUUCGAUUCCGCUCGGUCACC
rnacentral:tRNA from 1 species